rnacentral:rRNA from 1 species
GGAAUCUUGCGCAAUGGGCGACAGCCUGACGCAGCCAUGCCGCGUGUAUGAGGAAGGUCUUAGGAUUGUAAAAUACUUUCACCGGUGAAGAUAAUGACUGUAGCCGGAGAAGAAGCCCCGGCUAACUUCGUGCCAGCAGCCGCGGUAAUCCGAAGGGGGCUAGCGUUGCUCGGAAUUACUGGGCGUAGAGGGAGCGUAGGCGGACAUUUAAGUCAGAGGUGAAAUCCCGGAGCUUAACUUCGGAACUGCCUUUGAUACUGGAUGUCUUGAGUGUGAGAGAGGUAUGUGGAACUCCGAGUGUAGAGGUGAAAUUCGUAGAUAUUCGGAAGAACACCAGUGGCGAAGGCGACAUACUGGCUCAUUACUGACGCUGAGGCUCGGAAGCGUGGGGAGCAAA